UACGUAGGGUGCGAGCGUUAAUCGGAAUUACUGGGCGUAAAGCGUGCGCAGGCGGGCUUUUAAGCCAGACGUGAAAUCCCCGGGCUUAACCUGGGAAUGGCGUUUGGGACUGGAAGUCUGGAGUGCGGCAGAGGAGACUGGAAUUCCUGGUGUAGCAGUGAAAUGCGUAGAUAUCGGGAGGAACACCUAUGGCGAAGGCAGCUCGCUGGGACGUUACUGACGCUGAGACGCGAAAGCGUGGGGGAGCAAACAGG
rnacentral:rRNA from 1 species